AUUGAACGCUGGCGGCAGGCCUAACACAUGCAAGUCGAGCGAGCGGCGGACGGGUGAGUAAUGCCUGGGAAUUGCCCAGUAGAGGGGGAUAACAGUUGGAAACGACUGCUAAUACCGCAUACGAUUGGAUUGCCCAGGUGGGAUUGGCUAGUUGGUGAGGUAAUGGCUCACCACGGCGACGAUCCCUAGCUGGUCUGAGAGGAUGAUCAGCCACACUGGAACUGAGACACGGUCCAGACGCCUACGGGAGGCAGCAGUGGGGAAUAUGGCAAAAUGGGGGAAACCCGGAUCCAGCCAUGCCGCGUGUGUGAAGAAGGUCUUCGGAUUGUAAAGCACUUUAAGUUGGGAGGCGUUACCAACAGAAUAAGCACCGGCUAACUUCGUGCCAGCAGCCGCGGUAAUUC
rnacentral:rRNA from 1 species